AUACUAUGAUGGUUGCAUAGUUCAGCAGAUAAAUCAUGAAGAGAUUUACCCAUUUGUCUGAUGUAUCU
rnacentral:snoRNA from 1 species